GAUGAACGCUAGCUACAGGCUUAACACAUGCAAGUCGAGGGGAAACGAUGAGAGAGCUUGCUCUCUUAGGCGUCGACCGGCGCACGGGUGAGUAACGCGUAUCCAACCUGCCCAUUACAGGGGAAUAACCUUGCGAAAGUAAGACUAAUGCCCCAUGGUAUUCUCAGCAGACAUCUAAUGAGGAUUAAAGAUUUAUCGGUAAUGGAUGGGGAUGCGUCUGAUUAGCUUGUUGGCGGGGUAACGGCCCACCAAGGCAACGAUCAGUAGGGGUUCUGAGAGGAAGGUCCCCCACAUUGGAACUGAGACACGGUCCAAACUCCUACGGGAGGCAGCAGUGAGGAAUAUUGGUCAAUGGGCGAGAGCCUGAACCAGCCAAGUAGCGUGCAGGAAGACGGCCCUAUGGGUUGUAAACUGCUUUUAUAGGGGAAUAAAGUGAUCUACGUGUAGUUUAUUGUAUGUACCCUAUGAAUAAGGACCGGGCUAAGUCGUAACAAGG
rnacentral:rRNA from 1 species